CAGCCGCCACGGUAAUACAGAGGGUGCAAGCGUUAAUCGGAAUUACUGGGCGUAAAGCGCGCGUAGGUGGUUUGUUAAGUUGGAUGUGAAAUCCCCGGGCUCAACCUGGGAACUGCAUCCAAAACUGGCAAGCUAGAGUAUGGUAGAGGGUGGUGGAAUUUCCUGUGUAGCGGUGAAAUGCGUAGAUAUAGGAAGGAACACCAGUGGCGAAGGCGACCACCUGGACUGAUACUGACACUGAGGUGCGAAAGCGUGGGGAGCAAACAGGAUUAGAGACCCCGGUAGUCCCUGUCUCUUAUAC
rnacentral:rRNA from 1 species